UACGGGGGGGGCAAACGUUGCUCGGAAUUACUGGGCGUAAAGCGCGUGUAGGUGGAUUGGUGUGUCAGAUGUGAAAUCCCUGGGCUCAACCCAGGAACUGCACCUGAAACUACCAGUCUUGAGUGGUGGAGAGGGAAGUGGAAUUCCUGGUGUAGAGGUGAAAUUCGUAGAUAUCAGGAGGAACACCAGUGGCGAAGGCGGCUUCCUGGACACCAACUGACGCUGAGACGCGAAAGCGUGGGGAGCAAACAGG
rnacentral:rRNA from 1 species